rnacentral:rRNA from 1 species
GAUGAACGCUGGCGGCGUGCCUAAUACAUGCAAGUCGAGCGAACGGACGAGAAGCUUGCUUCUCUGAUGUUAGCGGCGGACGGGAGAGUAACACGUGGAUAACCUACCUAUAAGACUGGGAUAACUUCGGGAAACCGGAGCUAAUACCGGAUGAUAUUUUGAACCGCAUGGUUCAAAAGUGAAAGACGGUCUUGCUGUCACUUAUAGAUGGAUCCGCGCUGCAUUAGCUAGUUGGUAAGGUAAUGGCUUACCAAGGCAACGAUGCAUAGCCGACCUGAGAGGGUGAUCGGCCACACUGGAACGGAGCCACGGUCCAGACUCCUACGGGAGGCAGCAGUAGGGAAUCUGCCGCAAUGGGCGAAAGCCUGACGGAGCAACGCCGCGUGAGUGAUGAAGGCCUUCGGAUCGUAAAACUCUGUUAUUAGGGAAGAACAGAUGUGUAAGUAACUGUGCACAUCGUGACGGUACCUAAUCAGAAAGCCACGGCUAACUACGUG